AUCUGCUCACAUUACCUAGGAAAUUCCAAGGGGUUUAGGAGCCGGGUGACAGGAACAGAGAUGAACGCUAAACAUGUAUUUCUUAUGAGUCACAGUAUCACACAAAGCUUGGUGGAGAAAGGAUGGGUAUGGGGGGGGGGCAGUUAGGGACCCCCAUAGAAGAGGACUGGGAAGGAAUGAGGUCAGGAUUAGUGGAGCCAGAGAGAUCCUGUGUGACUGGCCAGGAGGCCUGGCCCCUAUCGGGAAACCAUAGAUAAAAGAGCUUCAGUGACAGGAGAGGCUCCAAAGUGACCACAGACUCCCCCACAAAGGGAACCUGGCUCCGCAGGCGGCUGGACCUGCAGGCACUGAUGCAACACACAACUGUGACAUGCCAGGCAGGCUGUCCCCUGCUCUCCCCCUCCCCCUGCCCCCCAGGAACAGCCGCCCCUCUCCUAGAAGGGGGAAGGGGAUGGAGGGUGAAGCCAGAGAACUAGACUCUUCCUCUGUGCCUGCAACUUCCUCUGCCUAACUGGAAGAGGGAGAUGCUUUCAACUGAAUGGAGCUUGGAGUUGUGAUAUCCCACUGGCAAGCUCCCCAGAUCCUCCAGGGAGCAGACCCCGGGCACUGCAUACCACCUAGGAGCCCAGCCAGCCUUCUGGAACAACAGCAACUGGCAACUUUCCCUUCCCUGCCCUGGCCAUGCUGAGCCUUCACUCCUGCAGCCCUUCUCUGUCUCUUCAACCAGGAAGACCCCACCUGCUGCAGUGCUCCAAGGCUCCUCAUAACUGUCCCAGUAGGCAGGUGUCUUGAAAGAAGACUAAAGGAAUUGACCAAACAAAGAACAAUGGUGUGACCUAUGGCAACGUUUGCUGAGCUGCUCUCCCUGUAGUAACUGCCUGCCCCUCAAAGACCUUUCUGGAAGAUACCCCAACCAUCACUAUUUGUAUGGCAGCAGUACCCUAUUGUAAUUCAUCUAAGCACUGGAACAGGUUGUUUAGGUGUUAUAUGGAUACAUUACAAAAUUCAGAGAACAAAAGGAUGGAAAGCUUUCUCACUGCAAGUGAAACAUCAAGCCUCUUUCUCUCCCCUUUCCCACCCAACUAACUCCUUGACUAUUACAACAUGACUACUACUACAACCCCUUGAUGAGCUCCCCAAACCCCAUCUGGUUCAGGUGAAGGAAGAGGGAAGGGAAUAUCUGGAAAGACUUUCUGGAGAAGGUGGCAUCUUGGUUCCUAUAAAAUAAUAAAAAAUGUAUGUAUUAGUCUCUACCCCUGAUU
rnacentral:lncRNA from 1 species